CCCACCGGGCCUGGCUGGGGGCCUGCUGGGAAAGAGUGGAGCUCUUCAGAGACAAGGCUCGGCUUAAUCGUGAUAUAAGUGAGAACAAGGCAUCAAUGGACUAGGGACCAUAAACUCACCCAGGGACAUUUUGAAGCACAGAGAAGAGUCCAGUCAAGGCCAGCUUCCAUAUAUCCAAGUGUUUAAAAGUUAAGUCAUCAAACAAGCAAAGUCUUCAAUCUCUUCUCCUGACUUGACAGACAUCUUCAUGACUUCCUGAAGGUCAAGUGUGAAUUGAGAAUUUGGAGUCACAAGAGCUCCAGAUGAAACUGGGUGGUGGUGGCACACGCCUUUAAUCCCAGUACUUGGGAGGCAGAGGCAGGUGGAUCUCUGUGAGUUCGAGACCAGCCUGGUCUACAAGAGCUAGUUCCUGGAUAGCCUCCAAAGCCACAGAGAAACACUGCCUUGAAAACAACAACAACAACAACAACAACAACAACAACAACAAAAACCAAAAAACUCCAGAUGGAAUGUGGGAUUCAGCCCCUAACCCUACCUAGUACUAGAAGAGAUCUUUAAAUUUUUAAAAUUACAUUUGUAUUUGUUUGGGGUAUGGGUGUGGGUGUUUGUGGCGGGGGGGUAUAUGCACCAUGGUACACAUGUAGAGGUCAAAGGACAACUUAAGGGCUUCUUCUUUCCAUCAGUCCUGGGCAUAGAACUCAGGUCUUCAGUCUUGGCGGCAGGUUCCUUUAUCUGAUGAGCCAUCUCAUCAGCCCUAAAGGGGUUUUAAUCACAAACAUGUAAACACUUACUAUGAGUCCUAGCCCUACUACUACCUACCACACCACCCCUUUGUCACCCCAAAGACCUGUGGCUAUAUACACCAGUGACAUAAUUCACCUGCUUUGGCAGACCAGACUUCAAUUAAUUAGAGCCCCUCACUGACUGAUUUAAGCUCAGAAACUCAGUCAGGGAAUUUCAGAACUGUAAAGCAAGAUCAAGCAGUGUGUUCUUGUCGAAUCUGUUUCUUUAUCCCAAGAGUACUCUGACUGUGGCUGGAGCAAAAUCCUAACAUAUGGACUACACAGUAUGGGCCAGUCUUGUGACCACCAAACCAAGGCCAGAGCCUGUCAGACAUGAGGUCAGCCAGUGGGAGUUCAGAAGAGGAUCUCUGGAAUUUCCUAGAAGGGUCCUCAUGGUGUCUUUGUGCCUCCUGUGGCUAAGAUUGGGUGUCUGCCCGUGACCUCAUGCCUCCACACAGGUCCCAUGGGUGUCAAGCAGGUGUCACCAUCUCAGGCUCCCAACACAGUGGAGCUUAUUAUCUUAUUAUCUUCCUCUCUCACUCCUUAACUCUAAUUUCCACUGUCCUGUGCUACUUGGCUGACCUCCUUGGCAGAGAUGUGACAAAAGGAUGUGUCUCUAGAGGUUCAGAUCCCUCAGCCAUCAGAACCCAAAGUUUCCUUGAGGCCACAUGAGCUAAAGGGCGAGAGUCCUACCCUCCAAUCACUCUGACCAAUCACGGUUUCCUUUCACCUCGUCUGGGUUGGUGGAUGUCAUUCAAAGUAGGCUGGUUCAUCUGUGCAGGCAGGGAGCAAGCCCCUUUUCUUGCCUGCACAGAUUCUCCUCACAGCCUGAGAUAGCCUUCAUUGCAGUUCCCAGCAUCCUCACAAGCCCUUACAAGCUAGCCUCCACCCUGGGCUCUGCCUCUCCCUCCCGUGUCUACUUUUUUAACCCCACACGACUGUUCUUAUUUCUACCCAAAUCCUUUCAUCCUUGAAGUUGUGUUUGGAGCCUUCCUCC
ensembl:lncRNA